rnacentral:ribozyme from 1 species
ACAUUUUUUUUUUUUGCUUCUUUUUUCUUUUUGCCUGCUGUUGAGAUGGAGAGGCUGCAAGAAAGAGGCCUGAAGAAGAAAAGCCUGGAGUGCUGGAAGUAAGGCA